CCUCCCCCCGACUCGGGAACGCGAGCGCGAGCUCGGUAGAUGCUACGUUAGUUCAGUCACGCAGCACUGCAGGUCUCGCCAAUGGCCGCUGCGCCUGCGCGUCUCGUCAAGCGGCUGCCCGGAAGGCGGGGAAUCUGAGGGGCUGGGGUUUUUCCAUUGCCACAAUGAAUAACUGCUAGAUCCCUCGGCCUCUGUUCUCUGAGCCCAGCGGAGGAAGCACCAUUCCAGAAACU
rnacentral:lncRNA from 1 species